rnacentral:misc_RNA from 1 species
UUUCCGUAGGUGAACCUGCGGAAGGAUCAUUAUUGAUUUGGGUUUUGCACACACCAGUGCUUCUCCCUUGCUGUACCUUGCUGUACACCGCAAAAAAAAAUACUCUUGUGAACUCGUACUACCCAAUUUUUAUAAAUAAUAGAAGCCUUAUGUUAUUUUUGUGUCCCCUCGCAGGGCUCAAUCAUUUAUUAAUUAUACAUAACUUUUAACAACGGAUCUCUUGGCUCUCGCAUCGAUGAAGAACGCAGC